rnacentral:rRNA from 1 species
UACGAAGGGGGCGAGCGUUGUUCGGAAUUACUGGGCGUAAAGUGUGCGCAGGCGGCCGCGCAAGUCGAGUGUGAAAUCCCCGAGCUUAACUUGGGAAUUGCGCUCGAAACUACGUGGCUGGAGUGUGGCAGAGGAAGGUGGAAUUCCACGUGUAGCGGUGAAAUGCGUAGAGAUGUGGAGGAACACCGAUGGCGAAGGCAGCCUUCUGGGCCAACACUGACGCUCAUGCACGAAAGCGUGGGGAGCAAACAGG